GAUGAACGCUGGCGGCGUGCCUAAUACAUGCAAGUCGAGCGAACAGAUGAGGAGCUUGCUCCUCUGACGUUAGCGGCGGACGGGUGAGUAACACGUGGAUAACCUACCUAUAAGACUGGGAUAACUUCGGGAAACCGGAGCUAAUACCGGAUAAUAUAUUGAACCGCAUGGUUCCAUAGUGAAAGACGGUUUUGCUGUCACUUAUAGAUGGAUCCGCGCCGCAUUAGCAAGUUGGUAAGGUAACGGCUUACCAAGGCUACGAUGCGUAGCCGACCUGAGAGGGUGAUCGGCCACACUGGAACUGAGACACGGUCCAGACUCCUACGGGAGGCAGCAGUAGGGAAUCUUCCGCAAAGGGCGAAAGCCUGACGGAGCAACGCCGCGUGAGUGAUGAAGGUCUUCGGAUCGUAAAACUCUGUUAUUAGGGAAGAACAAAUGUGUAAGUAACUAUGCACGUCUUGACGGUACCUAAUCAGAAAGCCACGGCUAACUACGUG
rnacentral:rRNA from 1 species